rnacentral:rRNA from 1 species
CCUACGGGAGGCAGCAGUGGGGGAUAUUGGACAAUGGGGGAAACCCUGAUCCAGCGACGCCGCGUGAGUGAAGAAGUAUUUCGGUAUGUAAAGCUCUAUUAGUAGGGAAGAAAGAAAUGACGGUACUUGAGUAAGAAGCCUCGGCUAACUACGAGCCAGCAGCCGCGGUAAUACGGAGGAGGCAAGCGUUAUCCGGAAUUACUGGGUGUAAAGGGAGCGUAGACGGUAAUGCAAGUCAGGGGUGAAAGGCGGGGGCCCAACCCCCGGACUGCAGUGGAAACUGGGUGACUGGAGUGCAGGAGAGGCAGGCGGAAUUCGUGGUGUAGCGGUGAAAUGCGUAGAUAUUAGGAAGAACUCCGGUGGCGAAGGCAGCCUGCUGGACUGUAACUGACGUUGAGGCUCGAAAGCGUGGGGAGCAAACAGGAUUAGAUACCCUAGUAGUC